rnacentral:rRNA from 1 species
UACGGAGGGUGCAAGCGUUGUCCGGAUUUAUUGGGUUUAAAGGGUGUGUAGGCGGACAUUUAAGUCUGGGGUGAGAUCUCUGAGCUCAACUCAGAAACUGCCUUGGAUACUAUUUGUCUUGAAUCAUGUUGAGGUUGGCGGAAUAUAACAUGUAGCGGUGAAAUGCAUAGAUAUGUUAUAGAACACCGAUUGCGAAGGCAGCUGGCUAAACAUGCAUUGACGCUGAGGCACGAAAGCGUGGGGAUCAAACAGG